rnacentral:rRNA from 1 species
AGCGAACGCUGGCGGCAGGCCUAACACAUGCAAGUCGAACGGACGUAGCAAUACGUCAGUGGCAGACGGGAGAGUAACACGUGGGAACGUGCCCUUUGGUUCGGAACAACCCAGGGAAACUUGGGCUAAUACCGGAUAAGUCCGUAAGGAGAAAGAUUUAUCGCCAAAGGAUCGGCCCGCGUCUGAUUAGCUUGUUGGUGAGGUAACGGCUCACCAAGGCGACGAUCAGUAGCUGGUCUGAGAGGAUGAUCAGCCUCACUGGGACUGAGACACGGCCCAGACUCCUACGGGAGGCUG